rnacentral:rRNA from 1 species
UGGGGAAUAUUGGACAAUGGGCGAAAGCCUGAUCCAGCCAUGCCGCGUGUGUGAAGAAGGUCUUCGGAUUGUAAAGCACUUUAAGUUGGGAGGAAGGGCAUUAACCUAAUACGUUAGUGUUUUGACGUUACCGACAGAAUAAGCACCGGCUGACUCUGUGCCAGCAGCCGCGGUAAUACAGAGGGUGCAAGCGUUAAUCGGAAUUACUGGGCGUAAAGCGCGCGUAGGUGGUUUGUUAAGUUGGAUGUGAAAGCCCCGGGCUCAACCUGGGAACUGCAUCCAAAACUGGCAAGCUAGAGUACGGUAGAGGGUGGUGGAAUUUCCUGUGUAGCGGUGAAAUGCGUAGAUAUAGGAAGGAACACCAGUGGCGAAGGCGACCACCUGGACUGAUACUGACACUGAGGUGCGAAAGCGUGGGGAGCAAACA